CACAGGAUAGCAUUAUCCAAUGUUCAAAUAUUUAUAGGAUUAAGAUGGGCAUGCGUGUCAUUAGCUAGUUGGCGGGGUAACGGSCCACCAAGGCGACGAUGACUAGGGGAUCUGARAGGAUGACCCCCCACACUGGUACUGAGACACGGACCAGACUCCUACGGGAGGCAGCAGUAAGGAAUAUUGGUCAAUGGAGGGAACUCUGAACCAGCCAUGCCGCGUGCAGGAAGACAGCCCUCUGGGUCGUAAACUGCUUUUAUUCGGGAAUAAACCUAUCUACGUGUAGAUAGUUGAAUGUACCGAAGGAAUAAGGAUCGGCUAACUCCGUGCCAGCAGCCGCGGUAAUACGGAGGAUCCAAGCGUUAUCCGGAUUUAUUGGGUUUAAAGGGUGCGUAGGCGGCUUAUUAAGUCAGGGGUGAAAGACGGUGGCUCAACCAUCGCAGUGCCCUUGAUACUGAUGAGCUUGAAUACACUAGAGGUAGGCGGAAUGUGACAAGUAGCGGUGAAAUGCAUAGAUAUGUCACAGAACACCGAUUGCGAAGGCAGCUUACUAUGGUGUUAUUGACGCYGAGGCACGAAAGCGUGGGGAUCAAACAGGAUUAGAUACCCUGGUAGUCCACGCCCUAAACGAUGAAUACUCGCUGUUAGCGAUAUACAGUUAGCGGCUAAGCGAAAGCGUUAAGUA
rnacentral:rRNA from 1 species